GGUUAAUGAGGCGAACCGGGGGAACUGAAACAUCUAAGUACCCCGAGGAAAAGAAAUCAACCGAGAUUCCCCCAGUAGCGGCGAGCGAACGGGGAGCAGCCCAGAGCCUGAAUCAGUGUGUGUGUUAGUGGAAGCGUCUGGAAAGGCGUGCGAUACAGGGUGACAGCCCCGUACACAAAAAUGCACAUAUUGUGAGCUCGAUGAGUAGGGCGGGACACGUGGUAUCCUGUCUGAAUAUGGGGGGACCAUCCUCCAAGGCUAAAUACUCCUGACUGACCGAUAGUGAACCAGUACCGUGAGGGAAAGGCGAAAAGAACCCCGGCGAGGGGAGUGAAAAAGAACCUGAAACCGUGUACGUACAAGCAGUGGGAGCACGCUUAGGCGUGUGACUGCGUACCUUUUGUAUAAUGGGUCAGCGACUUAUAUUCUGUAGCAAGGUUAACCGAAUAGGGGAGCCGAAGGGAAACCGAGUCUUAACUGGGCGUUAAGUUGCAGGGUAUAGACCCGAAACCCGGUGAUCUAGCCAUGGGCAGGUUGAAGGUUGGGUAACACUAACUGGAGGACCGAACCGACUAAUGUUGAAAAAUUAGCGGAUGACUUGUGGCUGGGGGUGAAAGGCCAAUCAAACCGGGAGAUAGCUGGUUCUCCCCGAAAGCUAUUUAGGUAGCGCCUCGUGAAUUCAUCUCCGGGGGUAGAGCACUGUUUCGGCAAGGGGGUCAUCCCGACUUACCAACCCGAUGCAAACUGCGAAUACCGGAGAAUGUUAUCACGGGAGACACACGGCGGGUGCUAACGUCCGUCGUGAAGAGGGAAACAACCCAGACCGCCAGCUAAGGUCCCAAAGUCAUGGUUAAGUGGGAAACGAUGUGGGAAGGCCCAGACAGCCAGGAUGUUGGCUUAGAAGCAGCCAUCAUUUAAAGAAAGCGUAAUAGCUCACUGGUCGAGUCGGCCUGCGCGGAAGAUGUAACGGGGCUAAACCAUGCACCGAAGCUGCGGCAGCGACGCUGAUGCGUUGUUGGGUAGGGGAGCGUUCUGUAAGCCUGUGAAGGUGUACUGUGAGG
rnacentral:rRNA from 1 species